GGUGCUAUAGUGUAGUGGUUAUCACUCGGGAUUUUGACUGUGAUGAUCACGUGAUCGCCCCCUCCAGCACUUUCCCGAAACCCAGGUUCGAACCCUGGUAGCACCU